CCUACGGGAGGCAGCAGUGAGGAAUAGUGGGCAAUGGGCGAGAGCCUGAACCAGCCAAGUCGCGUGAAGGAGGAAGGAGCGAUGGGUUGUAAACUUCUUUUAUAGGGGAAUAAAGUGAGGAACGUGUCCCUUUUUGUAUGUACCAUAUGAAUAAGCAUCGGCUAACUCCGUGCCAGCAGCCGCGGUAAUACGGAGGAUGCGAGCGUUAUCCGGAUUUAUUGGGUUUAAAGGGUGCGUAGGUGGGUAAUUAAGUCAGCGGUGAAAGUUUGUGGCUCAACCAUAAAAUUGCCGUUGAAACUGGUUGACUUGAGUAUAUUUGAGGUAGGCGGAAUGCGUGGUGUAGCGGUGAAAUGCAUAGAUAUCACGCAGAACUCCGAUUGCGAAGGCAGCUUACUAAACUAUAACUGACGCUGAGGCACGAAAGCGUGGGUAUCAAACAGGAUUAGAUACCCUUGUAGUC
rnacentral:rRNA from 1 species